CAAAAAUACAAGAUAAAAGCUGAAAAUUCUGUUCAGAAGCCUUUUUGUUAGUGCAUUGUGCUCUCAUUAUGCCUGCUCUGAUGACAGCAGUAAUGUGGGUGCUUCUACCCCUUGCUCUGUUUACCUCAGUUGCUAUGCCCAGCAAGAAGGAAAAAAGCCAUGGGAGGCAGAAGAAACUCAGAACAUUUUAUGGGAGGUGGCAUAGCAGGCUUUGAAGAGGCAGUCCUGAGGACAAAUCCUGUGAAUGCUUUUCAUAAGAACCAGAGCAGGAAGAAGAGCACAUAGGUCCUUUGUGGUGACGCCAGAGGACCAGCUUAUAGAGCUGGUUAAGGUAUCCCUUCCAGGACUCUCAGAAAAACCUAGCAGGUGCAUGGAACAGUGGGGAGCUGAGGGGCAGGACUGAGAUCAAAUGAUCACAUUCUGGGCAGAGGAACCACGCUCCUCCAUUAACGCCUGCAAAGUAUUCACUGACUACUGAAACUAGAAGAACAUCAUGGAAAAG
rnacentral:lncRNA from 1 species